GAAGGGCUGUAGCUCAGGGGUAGAGCAUCUUGUCUGGCAAGCAGAAGGUCCCAGGUUCAAUCCCUGGCAUCUUCA